UCCUUCGGGGUGUGACUGCGUACCUUUUGUAUAAUGGGUCAGCGACUUAUAUUCUGUAGCAAGGUUAACCGAAUAGGGGAGCCGCAGGGAAACCGAGUCUUAACUGGGCGUUAAGUUGCAGGGUAUAGACCCGAAACCCGGUGAUCUAGCCAUGGGCAGGUUGAAGGUUGGGUAACACUAACUGGAGGACCGAACCGACUAAUGUUGAAAAAUUAGCGGAUGACUUGUGGCUGGGGGUGAAAGGCCAAUCAAACCGGGAGAUAGCUGGUUCUCCCCGAAAGCUAUUUAGGUAGCGCCUCGUGAAUUCAUCUUCGGGGGUAGAGCACUGUUUCGGCUAGGGGGUCAUCCCGACUUACCAACCCGAUGCAAACUACGAAUACCGAAGAAUGUUAUCACGGGAGACACACGGCGGGUGCUAACGUCCGUCGUGAAGAGGGAAACAACCCAGACCGCCAGCUAAGGUCCCAAAGUCAUGGUUAAGUGGGAAACGAUGUGGGAAGGCACAGACAGCCAGGAUGUUGGCUUAGAAGCAGCCAUCAUUUAAAGAAAGCGUAAUAGCUCACUGGUCGAGUCGGCCUGCGCGGAAGAUGUAACGGGGCUAAACCAUGCACCGAAGCUGCGGCAGCGACACUAUGUGUUGUUGGGUAGGGGAGCGUUCUGUAAGCCGUUGAAGGUGGCCUGUGAGGGUUGCUGGAGGUAUCAGAAGUGCGAAUGCUGACAUAAGUAACGAUAAAGCGGGUGAAAAGCCCGCUCGCCGGAAGACCAAGGGUUCCUGUCCAACGUUAAUCGGGGCAGGGUGAGUCGACCCCUAAGGCGAGGCCGAAAGGCGUAGUCGAUGGGAAACAGGUUAAUAUUCCUGUACUCGGUGUUACUGCGAAGGGGGGACGGAGAAGGCUAUGUUAGCCGGGCGACGGUUGUCCCGGUUUAAGCAUGUAGGCGGAACGAUUAGGUAAAUCCGGUCGUUUAUUCAACGCUGAGGUGUGACGACGAGGCACUACGGUGCUGAAGUAACAAAUGCCCUGCUUCCAGGAAAAGCCUCUAAGCAUCAGGUAACAACGAAUCGUACCCCAAACCGACACAGGUGGUCAGGUAGAGAAUACCAAGGCGCUUGAGAGAACUCGGGUGAAGGAACUAGGCAAAAUGGUGCCGUAACUUCGGGAGAAGGCACGCUGAUGGUAAGUGAAGCGACUUGCUCGUGGAGCUGAAAUCAGUCGAAGAUACCAGCUGGCUGCAACUGUUUAUUAAAAACACAGCACUGUGCAAACACGAAAGUGGACGUAUACGGUGUGACGCCUGCCCGGUGCCGGAAGGUUAAUUGAUGGGGUUAUCCGUAAGGAGAAGCUCUUGAUCGAAGCCCCGGUAAACGGCGGCCGUAACUAUAACGGUCCUAAGGUAGCGAAAUUCCUUGUCGGGUAAGUUCCGACCUGCACGAAUGGCGUAAUGAUGGCCAGGCUGUCUCCACCCGAGACUCAGUGAAAUUGAACUCGCUGUGAAGAUGCAGUGUACCCGCGGCAAGACGGAAAGACCCCGUGAACCUUUACUAUAGCUUGACACUGAACAUUGAGCCUUGAUGUGUAGGAUAGGUGGGAGGCUUUGAAGUGUGGACGCCAGUCUGC
rnacentral:rRNA from 1 species